rnacentral:rRNA from 1 species
CCAGAAAGCCACGGCUAAUAACGUGCCAGCAGCCGCGGUAANACGUAGGUGGCAAGCGUUUNUCCGGAAUUAUUGGGCGUAAAGCGCGCGCAGGCGGUCCUUUAAUUUCUGAUGUGAAANCCCACGGUNUCAACCGUGGAGGGUCAUUGGAAACUGGAGGACUUGAGUGCAGAAGAGGAAAGUGGAAUUCCACGUGUAGCGGUGAAAUGCGUAGAGAUGUGGAGGAACACCAGUGGCGAAGGCGACUUUCUGGUCUGUAACUGACGCUGAGGCGCGAAAGCGUGGGGAGCAAACAGGAUUAGAUACCCUGGUANUCCACGCCGUAAACGAUGAGUGCUAAGUGUUAGGGGGUUUCCGCCCCUUAGUGCUGCAGCUAACGCAUUAAGCACNCCGCCUG